rnacentral:rRNA from 1 species
GGCGAUCUCCUGUCAAGCAGCCGGGGUAAUACGGAGGAUCCAAGCGUUAUCCGGAAUCAAUGGGUUUAAAGGGUUCGUAGGCGGCCUUAUAAGUCAGCGGUGAAAGUUUUUGGCUUAACCAAAAAAUUGCCAUUGAUACUGUAGGGCUUGAAUAUUUGUGAAGUAACUAGAAUAUGUAGUGUAGCGGUGAAAUGCUUAGAUAUUACAUGGAAUACCAAUUGCGAAGGCAGGUUACUAACAAAUGAUUGACGCUGAUGGACGAAAGCGUGGGUAGCGAACAGGAUUAGAUACCCGGGAGUC